UCAAGUUGACAGUCAUCGGCGUAAAGAGUGGUUAGGAUAAACAUAAACUAGAGCUAAAUGUCCUCAAAGCUGUUAUAAGCCCACGAGGAUAAGAAGCCCAACUACGAAAGUGGCUCUAUUAUAUCUGACCCCACGAAAGCUAGGGCACAAACUGGGAUUAGAUACCCCACUAUGCCUAGCCUUAAACAUUGACAGUUAACUACAACCACUGUCCGCCUGGGAACUACGAGCGCCAGCUUAAAACCCAAAGGACUUGGCGGUGCUUUAGACCCACCUAGAGGAGCCUGUUCUAGAACCGAUAAUCCCCGUUAAACCUCACCCUUCCUUGUCAUUUCCGCCUAUAUACCGCCGUCGUCAGCUUACCCUGUGAAGGCUUAACAGUAAGCGCAAUCGGCAAAGCCCAAAACGUCAGGUCGAGGUGUAGCGAAUGGAAGGGGAAGAAAUGGGCUACAUUUACUGGCACAGUAAAUACGGAUGAUUACCCUGCAACGAGUAUCUGAAGGAGGAUUUAGCAGUAAGCAAAAAGCAGAGUGUUUUGCUGAAAUUGGCCCUGAAGCGCGUACACACCGCCCGUCACCCUCUCCGAGCUAAGACUUUAAACAUAACUAAUAUGCUAUAAC
rnacentral:rRNA from 1 species